AAAGUUGAGAAGUCAAAAACUUUAAAAACUGUAACAUAAAGGCAAAGAAUUGGUAUUGAAGUAUAAGGUUUUUUGAGACUUAAACUUUUCUUGUUCUCUCUCCAGAAAACAGAGACUAUGUAUCACAGCAAGAGUUUCAUUGGGUAUAAGAAAGCGUACUAGAAUACGUGCUGGAAGUACAGACAUGCAUCAAAAUGUAGUAGGAUAUAUGAAUUCAGUUCUAAUUAUCAUUUUGUCAAGUUUAUUAUUUGUGUUUUGGUAUUAUUUGGAAAAUUAAUUGCAAUACCAAUGGAUAGCCCUAUUAUUUCAUUAAAUUGAUGGGUUUUAGGAAAUUUUCCCUGUAAUUCAUAAUUGAGAUUAUAAUUUACCUUUUAUACAGAAUAUUGAAAUUGGGUGAGACUCAUUGACAAAGUAUUCUUAAAUAUUGUAAAUCAGUAAUGUUAUCACAGAUGAAGCCUUCCCUGUGAGAACGAAAGCUUCUAUAAAGUGAAGCACUGUUACUAAUGUUGCUUUACUUGUUUUAUCCUUGCUCUAUUCUAAAUGGGAAAGGGGCAGCUUUUGUAGCCUAAUAUUUUAGAGUUCUAACUUUAAAAUUCAUCGGGGAUGCUGUAAGGUCCAUUUCAGACCCCACCUUGGGAUAUUUUUGUCACUUUUUGAUGUGAAAACAUCUAACAUCUUGUCAGAUAUAUUUAUAAGCAGAUGUUUAAAAAUUUUAGGGAGUUCCUUAGAAUCAUUUUGAGGACUUUCAAAAAAAUUAAUCUUUUAGCUUCAAAGUCACAUUUUUUUAAAGUAAGUCAACAAUUAAAAGCUUUCAUACUUAACAAUACCAUAUGAUGGCUAGUUUUAACUUGUUGGGAGGAAGCCUUUUCUCUGGACCUCUCCUUAGUGUAAUAGGACCCUGAUGAAUGUGACACACUGGUGAAAGGGAGUUUUCUAACUGAACUUGCCACUAAUUAGCAUUUACUUAAACUGGCAAUCUUCUCAGAUUAGUAGUAAGUACAGUGCUUUAGGAUUCUGUGAAAUGUAGGUUAUCUUGUUUACUGUUACAUACCAUGAACUUGAAAAAGAUAAAUCUGAACUGGGCAUUAAGAACUUAAGUGUUCAGCCACAAACCAAAGAACAAAAGCAAAUCUGAUGCUUUAGAUCAUUUUACUGUGAACUAAACAUUCUGAUUGUGUCUCCAUCAGCUUGUGUACUGUGUGUAAGAAUAUAUGCAUUUCUUUUGUAGCCACGCCAUGAAUAUUUUAAUGUCCCUGUGUACUAAUGACUGCUCAUCGACUAUGCAGACUUUCACAGAGGAAAUAGAGAACUGAUAUACUUAUGAAAGAAAAUGUCCUCAGCUUGGUGACUAAUUCUCCUGUAAAAUAAUAUAUAGCAUUUUAUAGCUAGUACCUUUAUGAUUGUAUUUUUCUGUGCCUAUUCCUAAUUCUAUUUAUUCUGUAUAUGAUAUGACAUAGUUUUUUCUGUCUACUACUGAUUUCUUCUUUACAAAAUAUGACUUGUGAAUGUUUUAAUAUUCUAAACACAUACAAGUUAUCAUUAGUAAAUCAUCUGUGAUUAAUCUUAUGAGGGUAUAAGAGAAAGACCGGGAACAAUCACAAAUGUUUACCAAAGAAAAUAGUUAGGAACUCAGGCAAAAUUAGGAGCACCACAAUAUUUAAUGUAGUUUGAUCUUCCACUGUUGAAGAAAACCAAGCUUUAUUUAGCACUAAGAUUACUUUAUAGUCUGUACAAGCUAAUAUGUUGGACAGUAUCACAUAAAAAUGUGUUGAAGCAAUAUAAGAAAAAAAUCAAUUGUAUAAUUCUCUAAGAUCUAAGGUUAAAACAUUUCAAUUUUUAAGAAAUUUUGUAUUGCCAAUAUUUAUUAAGCCACAUUUAUGCAGUGUCAAAAGUCCUUUAAGAACUAUCAGAAAGCUAUGUCACAAAGUUUCUUGUAUUGUUGCUCAGUAACAGCCCUUGAGUCAGUAGUACUGAGCCUACUUAUGUGAUACAAAAUUCUGAUAUUCAUUUUCAAUAUUCAAACAUUUAUACUUAUUAGUUAAUGGCUUCCUAAUUAAUAUAUUAAGCCUUCUUCUAAACACUCAGUGCUGUGUUAACAAUGGUUGUAUAUUUUGGAAUACUAAAAGUUUUUAAUAUUAAUUUUAUAAAAAUAUGCUUUUAAUAAUAUUUAUCAAAUUCUACUAUUAAAAUACCAGAUAACUCAUUUGUCUAUCUAGAGAGUUUAAAACCUAAGUAAAUUGUUACUAAACAGUAACUUAAGUGGCAUGGUAGUGCAUGCCUGUCAUCCUAGUACCUGGGAGGCUGAUGCAGGAGCAAGAUGAGUUACUAUAGUACCUAGGGCAUCCCUGUCUCAAAAGACAAAAACUAAAUAUGCCAAAAACUCUAGGAACUUCAGAAGGUACCCAAAUGAGUUUCCCACUGAAAGAAGAUCUAUAAAAUGUCUUAGGAAAUGUAGUGUUAGGCAGCUGUACAGGUCAGCUCUCUCCAUUACCAUCUGAAACUUCACAAAACAUUGGUCUUUCAUUUCCAUUUUUCCCAUCCUCCCACACUACAUGUUGUUCACCUGAUUUUAAUGUUGCAUAAAUAUGCAUUGUCUCAUGCCUGUUUGUUUUGGAUGCUGUGUGCUGAGCUGUAACAAAAUGUUGUGUUUUUGUGAGGGGGAGGGGGUAUCUGUAUACAGCUGCUUGCUUUAAAUUAGCACAUUCUCAAAUAGCUUUUCCUGCAUGUCUGAAAUAAAGUAUUGCAUGUACUUUGUCUCAUGUGAAUGACUUCUUUCUUCUCCAUCCUUUUUGAUAAAAUAACAUUUUAUAUUUUCAUCUCUCCAGGUAAUUUUUUUAAGUUGUGAUUUUUAAAAAAUAACAAUUUCUGAGCCUACAAUAGUACUAAGUAUAUUCACAUUGUUGUACAACAGAUCCCCAGAACUUUUUCAGCUUGCAGAACUGAAAUUACAUAACUCACCAGCCAACUACUUCCCAUUUCUCUCUUACUGAAGGCAGGCCCUGGUAACAACCAUUCUAUUUUAAUUGUUUCCCUAAAUAAUUUUGAGCUACAAUUUCAGUGUCAACUUGCAAAAAUUACAUUUUGUAUUACAAACACUUUGUAAAAACAUUGAACUUGUCCAGUCUUAAAGGAAUAUAAUGUGUAAAUUAAACCAGACCUUUAGAAAGGACAUAUAUUAUUAAAUAAUGCAUGUUCAAAAAGCAACAUGAUUCUCUCCAGAGCACAGGCAGUGAGCACCUUGGAGAAAUGUGAUGAGCUUUAGGGAAUAGUUAUAGGGCAUUUUUAUCUAGAGAUGCUGAGCAUAUGAACUGUAUAAAAUGCAGUGUAAUGAUGCUUUAACAAAGUCAGGGUUCCAUGAAGUUUUCCUUUGAGUUGGUAUUAGGUGGAAGCACUUUUAAAUUCACAUGUCCUUUGACUCAGGACAAUGACUAUUUUCUUUUCCACCUCUUUUGAUAAAAUAUUUUACAUUUUCAUUUUUCCAGGUAAUGUUUUAAAUUGU
rnacentral:lncRNA from 1 species